UACGUAGGGGGCAAGCGUUGUCCGGAUUUACUGGGCGUAAAGCGCGUGUAGGCGGCUGCCAAAGUCGGGUGUGAAAGCCUUGAGCUCAACUCAAGAAUGGCACUCGAUACUUGGUGGCUAGAGGACCGGAGAGGAUAGUGGAAUUCCCGGUGUAGUGGUGAAAUACGUAGAGAUUGGGAAGAACACCAGUGGCGAAGGCGGCUAUCUGGACGGUUUCUGACGCUAAGACGCGAAAGCGUGGGGAGCAAACAGG
rnacentral:rRNA from 1 species